rnacentral:rRNA from 1 species
GAUGAACGCUAGCGGCAGGCUUAAUACAUGCAAGUCGAGGGGCAGCACGGGUAGCAAUACCUGGUGGCGACCGGCAAACGGGUGCGGAACACGUACGCAACUUUCCCAAAACUGGUGAAUAGCCCUCCAAAAGGAGGAUUAAUACACCGUAACAUAAUGAAGUGGCAUCACUUUAUUAUUAUAGCUCCGGCGGUUUUGGAUGGGCGUGCGCCUGAUUAGGUAGUUGGUGGGGUAACGGCCCACCAAGCCUGCAAUCAGUAACUGGUGUGAAAGCACGACCAGUCACACGGGCACUGAAACACGGGCCCGACUCCUACGGGAGGCAGCAGUAAGGAAUAUUGGUCAAUGGACAAAAGUCUGAACCAGCCAUGCCGCGUGAAGGAUGAAGGUCCUCUGGAUUGUAAACUUCUUUUAUCUGGGACAAAAAAAGGGAAUUCUUUCUCACUUGACGGUACCAAAGGAAUAAGCACCGGCUAACUCCGUG